AUUGAACGCUGGCGGCAUGCCUUACACAUGCAAGUCGAACGGCAGCGCGGGGGCAACCCUGGCGGCGAGUGGCGAACGGGUGAGUAAUAUAUCGGAACGUACCCAAGAGUGGGGGAUAACGUAGCGAAAGUUACGCUAAUACCGCAUACGAUCUAAGGAUGAAAGUGGGGGACCGCAAGGCCUCACGCUCCUGGAGCGGCCGAUAUCUGAUUAGCUAGUUGGUGGGGUAAAGCCUACCAAGGCAUCGAUCAGUAGCUGGCCUGAGAGGACGACCAGCCACACUGGGACUGAGACACGGCCCAGACUCCUACGGGAGGCAGCAGUGGGGAAUUUUGGACAAUGGGGGCAACCCUGAUCCAGCAAUGCCGCGUGAGUGAAGAAGGCC
rnacentral:rRNA from 1 species